rnacentral:lncRNA from 1 species
AGAUAAUGGUUACAAAAGGACAGGUGAGCUUAUGUGCUAUGCUUUAACUUUCUAUUUCCAGCAGUCAGGAACCACAGAAAUCUUGCCAAGUGUCCAAGCUCAUGCUUUCCAACUGGGACAAUUCUUCUUUCCAGGGACGUUUGGCAGUAUCUGAAGUCACAACUGGGUGGGCAUGAGUACCCCUGGCAUCCUGUGACUAGAGGUCAUGGACAAUAUUCAACAUACUGCAAGGCACAGGACAGCUCCUCUGUGACAAAGUGUUAUCCAAACUCUAAUGCCAAUCAUGCCUAGGUUGAAAAUCCCUGGUCUACAUAGUUGUACAGAUUAAAAGAUGGAGAAAAAUUGAGACUUUUAGCUUCAGGCAUUUUUCUACAGUGAAAUUCCUAAAUGUGAGUCAAAAGAUACAUACAUUCACACAGUACCUUGGAAGGUGUUGCCGCAGUGCCCUCUACAGAUGUAGCGACAGUUCCUUGCCACAAGGAUGUCCAGCAAUGCCUCUUUCCUGCACCAUCACCAACACGUUACAUCGCCAGCUUUCUUAUAACUACAUAAAUUUAAAUGGUUUUUCUAUUCAAACAUUUUCUUUUGUGUUAACUUAUUAUAGUAUGUAAGUUCCUUUGAUAUUCCUAAGAGAGCUAGGGUAUUUGGAGGUACUUUAAAGAAGUUGAAAGAAUGCAAACGGGCCCAAGUUGUUCCAUAACAAAUAAUAGCAUUUGGUUUUCUUGAGGAGCUAUUAGUCAUUUGCAGAAAAAAUGUGAGUGAUGAAGACUUGCAGUGCUACUCAGCCACCCUUACUUCCUGCUAUUUCUACUUCAGUCAUUAAAGAAAAGGCC